rnacentral:rRNA from 1 species
GGUUAAGCGACUAAGCGUACACGGUGGAUGCCCUGGCAGUCAGAGGCGAUGAAGGACGUGCUAAUCUGCGAAAAGCGCCGGCGAGGUGAUAUGAACCUUUGACCCGGCGAUGUCCGAAUGGGGAAACCCAGUGUGUUCCGACACACUAUCGUUAACUGAAUACAUAGGUUAACGAGGCGAACCGGGGGAACUGAAACAUCUAAGUACCCCGAGGAAAAGAAAUCAACCGAGAUUCCCCCAGUAGCGGCGAGCGAACGGGGAGCAGCCCAGAGUCUGAAUCAGCUUGUGUGUUAGUGGAAGCGUCUGGAAAGUCGCACGGUACAGGGUGACAGUCCCGUACACGAAAGCACACAGGCUGUGAACUCGAAGAGUAGGGCGGGACACGUGGUAUCCUGUCUGAAUAUGGGGGGACCAUCCUCCAAGGCUAAAUACUCCUGACUGACCGAUAGUGAACCAGUACCGUGAGGGAAAGGCGAAAAGAACCCCGGCGAGGGGAGUGAAAAAGAACCUGAAACCGUGUACGUACAAGCAGUGGGAGCCUCUUUAUGGGGUGACUGCGUACCUUUUGUAUAAUGGGUCAGCGACUUAUAUUCUGUAGCAAGGUUAACCGUAUAGGGGAGCCGAAGGGAAACCGAGUCUUAACUGGGCGUUAAGUUGCAGGGUAUAGACCCGAAACCCGGUGAUCUAGCCAUGGGCAGGUUGAAGGUUGGGUAACACUAACUGGAGGACCGAACCGACUAAUGUUGAAAAAUUAGCGGAUGACUUGUGGCUGGGGGUGAAAGGCCAAUCAAACCGGGAGAUAGCUGGUUCUCCCCGAAAGCUAUUUAGGUAGCGCCUCGUGAACUCAUCUUCGGGGGUAGAGCACUGUUUCGGCUAGGGGGCCAUCCCGGCUUACCAACCCGAUGCAAACUACGAAUACCGAAGAAUGUUAUCACGGGAGACACACGGCGGGUGCUAACGUCCGUCGUGAAGAGGGAAACAACCCAGACCGCCAGCUAAGGUCCCAAAGUCAUGGUUAAGUGGGAAACGAUGUGGGAAGGCACAGACAGCCAGGAUGUUGGCUUAGAAGCAGCCAUCAUUUAAAGAAAGCGUAAUAGCUCACUGGUCGAGUCGGCCUGCGCGGAAGAUGUAACGGGGCUAAACCAUGCACCGAAGCUGCGGCAGCGACGCUUAUGCGUUGUUGGGUAGGGGAGCGUUCUGUAAGCCGUUGAAGGUGUCCUGUGAGGGGUGCUGGAGGUAUCAGAAGUGCGAAUGCUGACAUAAGUAACGAUAAAGCGGGUGAAAAGCCCGCUCGCCGGAAGACCAAGGGUUCCUGUCCAACGUUAAUCGGGGCAGGGUGAGUCGACCCCUAAGGCGAGGCCGAAAGGCGUAGUCGAUGGGAAACAGGUUAAUAUUCCUGUACUUGGUGUUACUGCGAAGGGGGGACGGAGAAGGCUAUGUUAGCCGGGCGACGGUUGUCCCGGUUUAAGCAUGUAGGYGGAGGUUCCAGGUAAAUCCGGUACCUUAUUAACGCUGAGGUGUGAUGACGAGGCACUACGGUGCUGAAGUAACAAAUGCCCUGCUUCCAGGAAAAGCCUCUAAGCAUCAGGUAACAUCAAAUCGUACCCCAAACCGACACAGGUGGUCAGGUAGAGAAUACCAAGGCGCUUGAGAGAACUCGGGUGAAGGAACUAGGCAAAAUGGUGCCGUAACUUCGGGAGAAGGCACGCUGAUAUGUAGGUGAAGCCCCUGCGGGUGGAGCUGAAAUCAGUCGAAGAUACCAGCUGGCUGCAACUGUUUAUUAAAAACACAGCACUGUGCAAACACGAAAGUGGACGUAUACGGUGUGACGCCUGCCCGGUGCCGGAAGGUUAAUUGAUGGGGUUAGCGGCAACGCGAAGCUCUUGAUCGAAGCCCCGGUAAACGGCGGCCGUAACUAUAACGGUCCUAAGGUAGCGAAAUUCCUUGUCGGGUAAGUUCCGACCUGCACGAAUGGCGUAAUGAUGGCCAGGCUGUCUCCACCCGAGACUCAGUGAAAUUGAACUCGCUGUGAAGAUGCAGUGUACCCGCGGCAAGACGGAAAGACCCCGUGAACCUUUACUAUAGCUUGACACUGAACACUGGUCCUUGAUGUGUAGGAUAGGUGGGAGGCUUUGAAGCGUGGACGCCAGUCUGCGUGGAGCCAACCUUGAAAUACCACCCUUUAAUGGCUGGUGUUCUAACGUAGACCCGURAUCCGGGUUGCGGACAGUGUCUGGUGGGUAGUUUGACUGGGGCGGUCUCCUCCCAAAGAGUAACGGAGGAGCACGAAGGUUAGCUAAUCCUGGUCGGACAUCAGGAGGUUAGUGCAAUGGCAUAAGCUAGCUUGACUGCGAGAGUGACGGCUCGAGCAGGUGCGAAAGCAGGUCAUAGUGAUCCGGUGGUUCUGAAUGGAAGGGCCAUCGCUCAACGGAUAAAAGGUACUCCGGGGAUAACAGGCUGAUACCGCCCAAGAGUUCAUAUCGACGGCGGUGUUUGGCACCUCGAUGUCGGCUCAUCACAUCCUGGGGCUGAAGUAGGUCCCAAGGGUAUGGCUGUUCGCCAUUUAAAGUGGUACGCGAGCUGGGUUUAGAACGUCGUGAGACAGUUCGGUCCCUAUCUGCCGUGGGCGCUGGAGAAUUGAGGGGGGCUGCUCCUAGUACGAGAGGACCGGAGUGGACGCAUCACUGGUGUUCGGGUUGUCAUGCCAAUGGCACUGCCCGGUAGCUAAAUGCGGAAGAGAUAAGUGCUGAAAGCAUCUAAGCACGAAACUUGCCCCGAGAUGAGUUCUCCCUGAGACUUUAAGUCUCCUGAAGGAACGUUGAAGACUACGACGUUGAUAGGUCGGGUGUGUAAGCGCAGCGAUGCGUUGAGCUAACCGAUACUAAUGAACCGUGAGGCUUAACCUU